rnacentral:rRNA from 1 species
GAUCCUGGCUCAGAAUCAACGCUGGCGGCGUGCCUAACACAUGCAAGUCGAGCGAGAAAAGGGGAGCAAUCCCCUGAGUAAAGCGGCGCGCGGGUGAGUAACACGUGGGUAAUCUGCCCUGGAGUGGGGAAUAACACCGGGAAACCGGUGCUAAUACCGCAUACGAUAACGAUGUCUGUGGACGUUGUUAUGAAAGGAGCAAUUCGCUCCAGGAGGAGCCCGCGGCUGAUUAGCUAGUUGGUGAGGUAAUGGCUCACCAAGGCAACGAUCAGUAGCCGGUCUGAGAGGACGGUCGGCCACACUGGAACUGAGACACGGUCCAGACUCCUACGGGAGGCAGCAGUGGGGAAUUUUUGGCAAUGGGGGAAACCCUGACCAAGCAACGCCGCGUGGAUGAUGAAGUAUCUCGGUACGUAAAAUCCUUUCGACAGGGAAGAAACCCGCAAGGGUUGACGGUACCUGUAGAAGAAGCCCCGGCUAACUCCGUGCCAGCAGCCGCGGUAAUACGGGGGGGGCAAGCGUUGUUCGGAAUUACUGGGCGUAAAGGGCGCGUAGGCGGUUUGCUAAGUUGGACGUGAAAACUCUGGGCUUAACCCAGAGACUGCAUCCAAAACUGGCAAGCUAGAGUUUUGGAGGGGGAAGCGGAAUUCCUGGUGUAGCAGUGAAAUGCGUAGAUAUCAGGAGGAACAC